UCAGAGACAGAGAACCACCAUGGAUCUGCCAGAGUCAGAGACUUUCCCGUUUUCAACAAUGAGAAUGAAAAGAGAGCCUAGUCUUUACAAGGACUACAACAACAUAAAAGUAAACGAAUAAAUGACAAGUGUGGGUGAAAACUUCUCUCCGAGUUAAUGCUCUUUUUCUGUGUGAGGACAUCACGACUAAGGCAACUCUUAUCAAAGGAAGCAUUUGAUUGGAGGGCGCGCUACAGUUUCAGAUGAUUUGUCUGUCAUCACUGAAGAAGGAAGCAAACAGACUUGGUUUUGGACAGUGACCUAGGAGUGCUCAUCCUCAACCAGAGAGAUGGGGAAACUGGGCCUAAUAAGUGGGCUUUUACAAAAUGU